rnacentral:tRNA from 1 species
UUAGCUCAGUGGUAGAGUAGAUGACUGUUAAUCAUUUGGUCGCUGGUUCGAAUCCA